rnacentral:lncRNA from 1 species
CUUAAAUUGUGGCCAUGACACUGUCCCCCCAGAGCGAGUCUUUUGUCUCCCUAUUUCCUUGGAAAGACCCACUGCUUGGAAGUGGGAGCAGGAAUGCUUAGGGGCUUGGUAGAGAGGGAGCUGAGCUGAAGAGCUGGGUUAGUCCUAGUUCACGAUGCCGGCACUGAUGAAAUAACAGUGAAGGAGCAAAGAGCGAGGACUCCAGAGUCAGAACACCUGGAUCUUCUUCCCUCUGUGACCUUGGGGUCCUUAUGGCAUGUUUCUGUGCCUCAGUUUACCUCCAUACGAUGGAGAUAGUAGCACUUACUUCUGAGUUGGUGUGAGGGUUCAAUAAUGUACAUAGUGAUUAGCAUACCUAGUAAGUCUUCCAUACACGUGAGCUAGUACAGUUAUCUGGGAACUGUAAGGUACUGUACAAUGGCAGAUUCAGAAUAUUUGGAGUUCCUCCCGUCUCACCCCAUGGUCCUUCCCGCCCUGCCUUUCCAUAUACACAAUCACUGGGCGAUGGGCAAGUACAAAGCAAACUCGAGGAGGGCAGAGGGUACCCAGCGAGCCUGUACUGGCAACGACCACCCUGGCCUCUGGGUGUGCCCAGAAUUCUGUCUCCGCCUCCAUGGGGGUCUGGAUCUGGAUAUCUCCCCUCAGCUGGCCCUGCUUCCCAAGUGCAUCUCAGCUGCCGAGGAAGACAGGAGCCGUUUGCCCUCAAGCCUUUCCCCCUUCAUCUGAAUGCUAAUCUUUCUGCUGGCCAGGGCCUGAGUGACAAGGAAGAGGCUGCUCAGAGCUGCAGGGUGCCCAAGGGUAGCAGCCGGAGCAGGGAGGUGCUGCUGUCUGCUCCUUCUGUGGCUGACACUCAGGGCUGCUUCCAGUCUCUCCUGGAGGUUGGAACAUGACCAGAGAACUAAUGAGGUGUUGGAAAGGAGCAAGGAAGUAGCCAUGGCAGCUGCAGCAGCUGCUGCUGUCCUGCGUCAGCCUGGGGAGCAGAUGUGGCUCUGGGGGAGUACCUGCCCAUCUCAAACGUCUGGUGUGUAUCUGUGUGUGUAGAAUGGUCCUGAGAAAGGUGUGCACCAGAGGCCUUGGUCCAAGCCUACACGGGGAAGGCCUGGAGCCCAAUUUGAGGCAGGCACAAUGCAAGAGCCAUGUACCCCACUCACCCUACAAGUGCCCUGGACCCCUCUGCAGGCACCUCACAGUCGGGUAGUAGCCUAAGCCCUUGAGCUAGAGAAACUGAGAUGUCAUUGCUCGUAAGACAUAGCCUGCAUUUGGAACUAUUAAAAGGUCUUCAGCUCUUGCUUUUUAUUUUGUACUGGGGAUUGAACUCAGGACCGUGUGCUGAGCUUAAAGCUUUAGCUUGAGCUAUAUCCUCAGCCACUCAGCUCUUGCUUUGAAGGAAGCCUCACGGAUGCAAGAUGGCUGCAGCAGUCCCAAGUAUAUCUUCACAAUGUCCCAAAGCCGGAAAAGAGGCUGUUACUUUUAAAAGCAUAAAAUUUUCCCAGACUUGGCCAGAAUCACAUUGCAGAUAAGAUGGAGGAAGAACAGCUUGCAGAAGGGCCACUACCAGUGCCUGCAUACAGAUGUACUUUGGUGCAACCACUCCAAG